rfam:Callithrix jacchus chromosome 22, whole genome shotgun sequence
GCCUGGGGAAAGCUAGGAGGUCGUAUAGUGAUCUCCUUGGGUGUCCUCCUCAACUAUACAACCUCCUACCUCAGCCCGGGGG